UACAGAGGGGGCAAGCGUUGUUCGGAAUUACUGGGCGUAAAGGGCGCGUAGGCGGCCUGCUAAGUCGAACGUGAAAUCCCUGGGCUCAACCCAGGAACUGCGUCCGAUACUGGUUGGCUUGAAUCCGGGAGAGGGAUGCGGAAUUCCAGGUGUAGCGGUGAAAUGCAUAGAUAUCAAGAGGAACACCAGUGGCGAAGGCGAGUCCCUGGACAAACCCUGACACUGAGGCACGAAAGCCAAGGGAGCAAACAGG
rnacentral:rRNA from 1 species